UACGGGGGGGGCAAGCGUUGUUCGGAAUUACUGGGCGUAAAGGGCUCGUAGGCGGCCAACUAAGUCGGAUGUGAAAUCCCCAGGCUCAACUUGGGAACUGCAUCCGAUACUGGAUGGCUUGAAUUCGGGAGAGGGAUGCAGAAUUCCAGGUGUAGCGGUGAAAUGCGCAGAUAUCGGGAAGAACACCAAUGGCGAAGGCAGCUCGCUGGGACGGUACUGACGCUGAGACGCGAAAGCGUGGGGAGCAAACAGG
rnacentral:rRNA from 1 species